rnacentral:lncRNA from 1 species
CUGGAAGCAAACACGGGGUGUUGUUGAGUGCGUCGUAGGAAGUCUCUUUAGCUUUUCCACAGUCAACCACGUAAACUACAUCAUUGAUGGUGAUGCUUGUCUCGGCCAUGUUAGUGGCUAGAACUAUUUUCCUGAUGCCAUCUUCAGGUUUAUUGAAUAUCAAUUUCUGUUAAUGAAAAAAAAAAAAAAAAACAUCACCACCUGAGGGCUGAGGCUGAGUUCCUUAAAGGUGAUAAUAAGGAAAGGCAUUACCUGUUCUGAGCUGUCCAUCGAACCAUGGCAGGCAAGCAGCAAAACUUUGGUUGGAUCUCCAAGUAACGGAUGAGAUUGGAGUUGAUCCUUGAGAGAAUUUAUAUCAUCCCAACCAGUCAUAAACACCAAAAUAGCACCUGGCCUUUCUUUUUUACAUAUAUGACAAACAACAUUCUCAAUAAGAUUGAACCCAAUUGAAUCCGGGUUCCAACAUGACAGGGAAUCCCUAGUCCACGGGUUUAACUCUCUCAAAUCAGCAGCUCCAAGAGCAUCCUGUUCCAAUUUUCAAACCACAAUUUAUUUUUUUUAAACAAACAAACAAGUGAAUACUCCUAUACUACCUCCGCAGCUGAAGCAAUUUGGGUCUUCCUUUUACGAAGAGUUUGUUUCUGCAUUUUCCAUGAUUUCUCUUGGCCAUAAUUAUCAAUUUGAUUAUAUGUUGACAGCCUAUAUCCAGUCAUUUCUAAAAUAUUCUCCAGAAAAUAGCUCCGAACUGGAUAAGUGAAACCCUGCCAACAAGAAAUUACCAAUAAAGGCAUAGUAAUAUUAUUAUUAUUAUUAAUCGCCUUCAUUUUUUGUUAACCUAAGUAACUUACAGGAAUAUGCAUCAUUGGAGCUCCACCAAAGUAGGAGGAGAAAAGCUCAGCAUUUAGGGUUGCACUCAUCAAAAUUAACUUCAGUUCUGGUCUGCGAGGAAGAAGCUCCUUCAACACGAUAAGAAGAAAAUCUGCCAUGAAAUGAAAAUUAAUAAAUAUACUUAACAAAAAAAAAUAAUAAAUAAAUUACCCACCCUCAUUCAUCCCUCGUUCGUGGAUCUCAUCAACAAUGACAUGAGUUACACCUUGCAAGCUCCUGUCGAGUAGUAAUCUCCUAAGCAAAAUGCCAGUAGUGCAAAACAGCAGGCGAGUAUCUCUUCCUUUUAUUCCCUCAAGCCGAACUUUAUACCCAACCUUCAAAAAGAAAAAGGAAAAAAAUGUUAUUAUAAAUAUUGAGAGACUUUAUAAAAGUGUGAGAGAGAGAAAAGUUAUUUACAGAAUCUCCAAGCUUCUCCCCUCGUUCUGCAGCAACCCUCUCAGCAACUGACAUAGCAGAUAUUCGUCUGGGUUGGGUGCAGAUAAUACUGCAAACUGCUCCACGAGCAGCUUCAAUUUCAGACUCUAAGAUGUAUUGAGGUAGUUGUGUGGUUUUACCACACCCCGUUUCACCAGACACCACAAUUACCUGCCAAAACAANAUUAAUAACAUAACAGAUGAGAUGAAUACAUAACAAAUUUUAAAAAAAAAAAAAAAAAAGAUGGAGCAAGUUGAUGAGUCUUACUUGGCGAGCAGAAGCCUUUGAGAUCCAGGCUGGAAGCAAACACGGGGUGUUGUUGAGUGCGUCGUAGGAAGUCUCUUUAGCUUUUCCACAGUCAACCACGUAAACUACAUCAUUGAUGGUGAUGCUUGUCUCGGCCAUGUUAGUGGCUAGAACUAUUUUCCUGAUGCCAUCUUCAGGUUUAUUGAAUAUCAAUUUCUGUUAAUGAAAAAAAAAAAAAAAAACAUCACCACCUGAGGGCUGAGGCUGAGUUCCUUAAAGGUGAUAAUAAGGAAAGGCAUUACCUGUUCUGAGCUGUCCAUCGAACCAUGGCAGGCAAGCAGCAA